rnacentral:rRNA from 1 species
AGAGUUUGAUCCUGGCUCAGAACGAACGCUGGCGGCAGGCCUAACACAUGCAAGUCGAACGAUGCCUUCGGGCAUAGUGGCGCACGGGUGAGUAACACGUGGGAACAUACCUUUUGGUGGGGGAUAACUUCGGGAAACUGAAGCUAAUACCGCAUACGCCCCUUGGGGGAAAGAUUUAUCGCCGAAAGAUUGGCCCGCGUCCGAUUAGCUAGUUGGUGAGGUAAUGGCUCACCAAGGCUCCGAUCGGUAGCUGGUCUGAGAGGAUGACCAGCCACACUGGGACUGAGACACGGCCCAGACUCCUACGGGAGGCAGCAGUGGGGAAUAUUGGACAGUGGGCGCAAGCCUGAUCCAGCCAUGCCGCGUGAGUGAUGAAGGCCUUAGGGUUGUAAAGCUCUUCACCCACGACGAUGAUGACGGUAGUGAGAGA